AUUGAACGCUGGCGGCAUGCCUAACACAUGCAAGUCGAACGGCAGCACAGCAGUAGCAAUACUGUGGGUGGCGAGUGGCGGACGGGUGAGGAAUACGUCGGAAUCUGCCCAGUCGUGGGGGAUAACUAGCCGAAAGGUUAGCUAAUACCGCAUACGACCGAGAGGUGAAAGCGGGGGACCGGCAAGGCCUCGCGCGAUUGGAUGAGCCGACGUCGGAUUAGCUAGUUGGCGGGGUAAAGGCCCACCAAGGCGACGAUCCGUAGCUGGUCUGAGAGGAUGAUCAGCCACACUGGAACUGAGACACGGUCCAGACUCCUACGGGAGGCAGCAGUGGGGAAUAUUGGACAAUGGGCGCAAGCCUGAUCCAGCAAUGCCGCGUGUGUGAA
rnacentral:rRNA from 1 species